AGUGGGGCUCCCAUAUAACAAACGUGAUUUUUGACCGAAGUUAAGCAACGUCGGGCGGGGUCAGUACUUGGAUGGGUGACCGUUUUUAUAGAUAAUGGUACGGAACCCUUCGUUUGUGAGUCGGACUCGCACUUGGCCGGUUUUAUUUUUAGGUGAAUAGUUUGCGCGAGAGACACUUCCAAAGUGGUAAAAUGUGUCCCCCCCCCCCUGUAACUUCUAAAAUAAGUGAAUAAUAAAUCUAAAUAAAA